GACGAACGCUGGCGGCGCGCCUAACACAUGCAAGUCGAACGGAGCUUAGAGAGCUUGCUUUUUAAGCUUAGUGGCGAACGGGUGAGUAACGCGUGAGUAACCUGCCCUAGAGUGGGGGACAACAGUUGGAGACGACUGCUAAUACCGCAUAAGCCCACGGUACCGCAUGGCACUGAGGGAAAAGGAUUUAUUCGCUUUAGGAUGGACUCGCGUCCAAUUAGCUAGUUGGUGAGGUAACGGCCCACCAAGGCGACGAUUGGUAGCCGGACUGAGAGGUUGAACGGCCACAUUGGGACUGAGACACGGCCCAGACUCCUACGGGAGGCAGCAGUGGGGGAUAUUGCACAAUGGGGGAAACCCUGAUGCAGCGACGCCGCGUGGAGGAAGAAGGUUUUCGGAUUGUAAACUCCUGUCGUUAGGGACGAUAAUGACGGUACCUAACAAGAAAGCACCGGCUAACUACGUGCCAGCAGCCGCGGUAAAACGUAGGGUGCAAGCGUUGUCCGGAAUUACUGGGUGUAAAGGGAGCGCAGGCGGGAAGACAAGUUGGAAGUGAAAACCAUGGGCUCAACCCAUGAAUUGCUUUCAAAACUGUUUUUUCUUGAGUAGUGCAGAGGUAGAUGGAAUUCCCGGUGUAGCGGUGGAAUGCGUAGAUAUCGGGAGGAACACCAGUGGCGAAGGCGGUCUACUGGGCACCAACUGACGCUGAGGCUCGAAAGCAUGGGUAGCAAACAGGAUUAGAUACCCUGGUAGUCCAUGCCGUAAACGAUGAUUACUAGGUGUUGGGGGAUUGACCCCCUCAGUGCCGCAGUUAACACAAUAAGUAAUCCACCUGGGGAGUACGACCGCAAGGUUGAAAACUCAAAAGGAAUUGACGGGGGCCCGCACAAGCAGUGGAGUAUGUGGUUUAAUUCGAAGCAACGCGAAGAACCUUACCAGGUCUUGACAUCCGAUGCAUAGCACAGAGAUGUGUGAAAUCCUUCGGGACAUCGAGACAGGUGGUGCAUGGUUGUCGUCAGCUCGUGUCGUGAGAUGUUGGGUUAAGUCCCGCAACGAGCGCAACCCUUAUUGCCAGUUACUACGUUAAGAGGACUCUGGCGAGACUGCCGUUGACAAAACGGAGGAAGGUGGGGAUGACGUCAAAUCAUCAUGCCCUUUAUGACCUGGGCUACACACGUACUACAAAUGGCGUUAAACAAAGGAGAAGGCAGGACCGGGAGGGGGGAGCAAAAUUCAAAAACAAGUUUUCAGUUCGGAUGGCGGGUGGAAAUUGCCUGGCAGAAAUUGGGAAUGGUUGUUAAUGGGGAUUCGCCUGGCGGCGGUGUAUAGUUUCCCGGCCCUU
rnacentral:rRNA from 1 species